GGCUGGGUCCUGCGCGGCAGACCCUCCGAACCGUGUCAGGUCCGUGAGGAAGCAGCACUAAGGGGUUCAGUCUGGGUGCCGUGGGUUUACCUGGCCAGU
rnacentral:SRP_RNA from 1 species